rnacentral:ncRNA from 2 species
CGAUGGAACAAUGUAGGCAAGGGAAG